UACGAGUGCUUUUUAAGGUUGUCUAGGAUUCUGGGCGAUUUUUAUGAACUUUUUAAUAUCUGUAGAAUCCUUUGCUUGCCAACCAUUAACAUUAACAAAGUGAAGAGCUGAAAAGUAACCACAGAUCAGAGAGUAACCUUUGUCAUCUGUGAAAGUAACCUAGUUUAAAUUGGAGGUUAUGGAUACUUUUUGUUUUAAUUUUCCAGAUUUCAAAGUUUUCCCAAAUUAUUCCAGCCACCGCUGAUACAUUAACGAAAGAAAAAAUUACUACUUGGAUCCGAAACCAGACCGGCCAACUCACGCACUUUCACUUCACACACGCAACUUCAAACGCACAUUACAAGCCAUUUGGAAAAACAAAAAAAGGUUCCAUAAAAUAUAAAAUCCAGAUUGAAGGCUAAGGACAUGGCUGGUGACCAAAAAAAAAAGAGCCCCAUAGUGGGACAAAGGUCCCAUGAUAUUUGCCCAAAUUACCGUACAUGUACGGUAAUUACCGUACGAAUGGCCACCCUGUCCGAAACUGACUGACAAAUGAUUCUAACCUCACAUGCCAGAUCAAAAAUAUUUUGGUUAUCGUGAUUUGGAAAUACAUAGUUAAUUGAAUUGUGCCGUUCCAAUGUCUACCGCAAAGCCCAUCUAUCUGGACGUGGAUGCCAGCAUUGUCGAAAACAACUUACGUUUGACGAAUGAAUCUGAAUACGAGUUCAGCAAAAUAUUUGAAGCUCGGAGCCGCGAACCACCCUGCAAGACAGUUAAACCUCGACCUGGUAAGCAAACAUUUAUUUUUAAGCAAGUAAAAUUUUCCUAAGCUGAGGCCAAUGCCUAUUAAAAUUAGCACCAGCAAUUAAACUUUCUUUCUCGAGUCAUUCCAACAAAUAACGAAAGGCAAUAAAACUACUAUAUGUUGUAGCGUAAGUAUU